UCAAGAGCUGAGAGGUGUGUCCAGGGCUCCGAAUCCAUCCUGCAGUGGGAGAUGCAGGUCUGAGGAGCCAGGGACACACCCCAGUUUGCUCAGUGAAAAGGAGCCCGCUAUGACCAUGCCCUGCACUCCAGGAGAUCCCAGGUGAUUCCUCACACUUGUGGGUGUUCUGAAGACCUUUCCAGAAAUGCCUCCUUUACUCCCAGGGCUGGGAUUUCUCCUUCUGCUUGGGUGGCAGAGAACUGCUGGAGCUUCUACUGGGACACACCUG